rnacentral:rRNA from 1 species
AGCGAACGCUGGCGGCAGGCCUAACACAUGCAAGUCGAGCGCCCCGCAAGGGGAGCGGCAGACGGGAGAGUAACACGUGGGAACAUGCCCUUCAGUACGGAACAACCAAGGGAAACUUUGGCUAAUACCGUAUACGCCCGUAAGGGGAAAGAUUUAUCGCUGAAGGAUUGGCCCGCGUCUGAUUAGCUAGUUGGUGGGGUAAUGGCCCACCAAGGCGACGAUCAGUAGCUGGUCUGAGAGGAUGAUCAGCCUCACUGGGACUGAGACACGGCCCAUACUCCUACGGGAGGCAGCAGUGGGGAAUAUUGGACAAUGGGCGCAAGCCUGAGCCAGCCAUGCCGCGUGAGUGAUGAAGGCCUUAGGGUUGUAAAGCUCUUUCGUCAGGGAAGAUAAUGACGGUACCUGAAGAAGAAGCCCCGGCUAACUUCGUGCCAGCCGCCGCAGUAACAC